rnacentral:rRNA from 1 species
AUGAGAAGGGCUAUGUCACAGGUUAAGUGGCCCACCCCCAACCACUCGGGUUCAACCGCCGUCGAUAUCAUGCAUGUCCCCUCCGCUGAUCUCCUCUGGCUCGCUGUCAACAACUUGCCAUCCUACAUCACCAUCGAGCCCCUUUUGUCAUUUCUAAAGGACACGUUGUGCGAUGCUGGCUUGGGAUCCACAGCUUCCAAGUCAGACCUCAUCAACGGCGACCACAAGGAGGGUACCCUCUCUGGCUCUUCCAAGGGGAAAGAUCCCAUCUACUCUUUCAAGGGGAAAGAGCCCGUCUGCGACAUCAGGGAGGGCGCCCUACAGUCGUGCUCUUCCAAGGGGAAGGAGCCCAUCUGUGACAACAUGGAGCGCAUCCAGGAUCCCUGCUCUUCCCACAGGAACGAGCCCAUCUGUGAAAAGUGA